rfam:Oryza nivara chromosome 1, whole genome shotgun sequence.
AAAAAGUCAAACACUAGGUUUUCGUGUUCAACUUUGACUGUCUGUCUUAUAUAAAAUUUUUUUAUAAUUCGUAUUUUUAUUGUUGUUAGAUGAUAAAACAUGAUUAAUAUUUUAUACGUGACUUGUCUUUUUAAUUUUUUUCAUAAUUUUUUUAAAUAAGACGGACGGUCAAAUGUUAGACACGGAAAUCAGGGUUUGUCUUUUU